rnacentral:SRP_RNA from 1 species
CGGGCCCUGCGCAAGAGACACCUGUGAACCUGGUCAGGACCGGAAGGUAGCAGCCAUAAACGGGCCCGUCUUUGUGCCGCAGAUCAGU